rnacentral:rRNA from 1 species
UGGGGAAUAUUGCACAAUGGGCGGAAGCCUGAUGCAGCAACGCCGCGUGCGGGAUGACGGCCUUCGGGUUGUAAACCGCUUUCGCCUGUGACGAAGCGUGAGUGACGGUAAUGGGUAAAGAAGCACCGGCUAACUACGUGCCAGCAGCCGCGGUGAUACGUAGGGUGCGAGCGUUGUCCGGAUUUAUUGGGCGUAAAGGGCUCGUAGGUGGUUGAUCGCGUCGGAAGUGUAAUCUUGGGGCUUAACCCUGAGCGUGCUUUCGAUACGGGUUGACUUGAGGAAGGUAGGGGAGAAUGGAAUUCCUGGUGGAGCGGUGGAAUGCGCAGAUAUCAGGAGGAACACCAGUGGCGAAGGCGGUUCUCUGGGCCUUUCCUGACGCUGAGGAGCGAAAGCGUGGGGAGCGAACAGGCUUAGAUACCCUGGUAGUCCACGCUGUAAACGGUGGGUACUAGGUGUGGGGGUCCAUUCCACGGGUUCCGUGCCGUAGCUAACGCUUUAAGUA